GAUGAACGCUGGCGGCGUGCUUAACACAUGCAAGUCGAACGGUGAAGCAGGAGCUUGCUCUUGUGGAUCAGUGGCGAACGGGUGAGUAACACGUGAGCAACCUGCCCCUGACUCUGGGAUAAGCGCUGGAAACGGCGUCUAAUACUGGAUAUGUGAUGUGACCGCAUGGUCUGCAUCUGGAAAGAAUUUCGGUUGGGGAUGGGCUCGCGGCCUAUCAGCUUGUUGGUGAGGUAAUGGCUCACCAAGGCGUCGACGGGUAGCCGGCCUGAGAGGGGGACCGGCGACACUGGGACUGAGGCACGGCCCAGACUCCUACGGGAGGCAGCAGUGGGGAAUAUUGCACAAUGGGCGGAAGCCUGAUGCAGCAACGCCGCGUGAGGGAUGACGGCCUUCGGGUUGUAAACCUCUUUUAGCAGGGAAGAAGCGAAAGUGACGGUACCUGCAGAAAAAGCACCGGCUAACUACGUGCCAGCCGCCGCCGUAA
rnacentral:rRNA from 1 species